rnacentral:rRNA from 1 species
GACGAACGCUGGCGGCGUGCCUAAUACAUGCAAGUCGAACGGGGUGUGCUCGGGGGUAACUCUGGGUGCAUCUAGUGGCGAACGGGUGAGGAACACGUGAGGAACUUGCCUCGAAGACGGGGAUAACAGAAGGAAACUCCUGCUAAUACCCGAUACCCCCAUCGGAUCGCAUGAUCUGAUGAGGAAAUGGAUUCCGCUUCGAGAGAGUCUCGCGGCCUAUCAGCUUGUUGGUGGGGUAACGGCCUACCAAGGCUUCGACGGGUAGCUGGUCUGAGAGGACGAUCAGCCACACUGGGACUGAGACACGGCCCAGACUCCUACGGGAGGCAGCAGUAAGGAAUAUUGCGCAAUGGGCGAAAGCCUGACGCAGCAACGCCGCGUGCGGGAUGAAGGCCCUCGGGUUGUAAACCGCUUUCAGUAGGGAAGAAAAUGACGGUACCUACAGAAGAAGCCCCGGCCAACUACGUGCCAGCAGCCGCCGCAGUAA